rnacentral:lncRNA from 1 species
AGUCAUUCUUUGUAUAUAAGCUAAGCAUACUUGGGCUUGUUGUAAUACAUAUACAGGUUAACCAUAUAAAUUUCAUUUGUGAAUGCCUAGCAUUUAGGAAGUGUUGCUUUUUUCAUUCAUAACACAGACGUAUGCAUCUACUGAGAGCAUAGGACAAAACGUCUUCAGAGUGAUGCGAAGGUUCUUUGUUUGAAAUGAAGCUCUGCUAAAGCAACUGCAGAGAACAUCAGUUCUCCAAGGACUACAUGUGUCUGACAAUGUUAAAGGAGGGAAUAUCCAGACCCUACAGGGACCUCAUUGUUUUAAGUUCACUUCUGUGGGAAAGCCAGUGUCAGAAGAAUAUAAACUCAAGGCUGAUAAAAAUUCGUAGGUGUAACUGUCAGAAGACUGCAGUGUGGCAGAAGAGAACGGUGGAAACCACAGGCUGACCGCAUCCCUCUGUGAAGUCAACACUCCUACAGAAUAGCACUCUGCUAGAGCUACUCUCACUGAAUUCUGGUAACUGAUCCCUCUCUUCUCUUUUCUGGGCUUUGGGGUAAUAAUGUAAGAGCAUUCAUUCCAUACUGAAAGUUUCUCAGCCUUAGAAUACACAGGCUUGCUAAAGCUUAACGACGGUAGGGUCAUGCAACACACAGCAGACACAAUCAGCCUUCCAGGAAGCUGAAUUCUUGCAUGUGGGCAGUAGGAAGCAUUUGGUAAGUUAAUGUGCAGCUCAAAACCAUCAAUACUCUCUAACAACAAGAACCUAAGUUGAAGAAACCUCAGAGGAUCCAAAGCAACAAGCAGAGACAGCCAGCGUGGCCUGCAAUUCAAAAGUGGCUUCUUGAUUUUGUUUGCAUGCUUUGAUUCCACUGUCUUAGAACUCUUCAGACCCUCACUGUUUCCAAAGAUCAAGAUGAAAUUUCAACUUCUCAAGUGAACUUUUAAAGAAAAGUCUCUUUUCUUUCCUCAACAUCUUGUCUCUCAACUUAGUCGGCCUGUCACACCACGACUAGCAGGACUGGGCCAGUAACAAUAAUAUCCACAUAUUCUUUCCUGAAGAUGGACUUUCCUGUCUCAUUUGUUCCCCUUAACUCUGCC